rnacentral:rRNA from 1 species
GACGAACGCUGGCGGCGUGCUUAACACAUGCAAGUCGAACGGAAAGGCCCUGCUUUUGUGGGGUGCUCGAGUGGCGAACGGGUGAGUAACACGUGAGUAACCUGCCCUUGACGUUGGGAUAACUUCAGGAAACUGGGGCUAAUACCGGAUAGGAGCUCCUGCUGCAUGGUGGGGGUUGGAAAGUUUCGGCGGUUGGGGAGGGACUCGCGGCUUAGCAGCUUGUUGGUGGGGUAGUGGCUUACCAAGGCUUUGACGGGUAGCCGGCCUGAGAGGGUGACCGGCCACAUUGGGACUGAGAUACGGCCCAGACUCCUACGGGAGGCAGCAGUGGGGAAUAUUGCACAAUGGGCGGAAGCCUGAUGCAGCAACGCCGCGUGCGGGAUGACGGCCUUCGGGUUGUAAACCGCUUUCGCCUGUGACGAAGCGUGAGUGACGGUAAUGGGUAAAGAAGCACCGGCUAGCUACGUG